UAGGGAAUCUUCGGCAAUGGACGAAAGUCUGACCGAGCAACGCCGCGUGAGUGAAGAAGGUUUUCGGAUCGUAAAACUCUGUUGUUAGAGAAGAACAAGGACGUUAGUAACUGAACGUCCCCUGACGGUAUCUAACCAGAAAGCCACGGCUAACUACGUGCCAGCAGCCGCGGUAAUACGUAGGUGGCAAGCGUUGUCCGGAUUUAUUGGGCGUAAAGCGAGCGCAGGCGGUUUGUUAAGUCAGAUGUGAAAUCCCCGGGCUCAACCUGGGAACUGCAUCUGAUACUGGCAAGCUUGAGUCUCGUAGAGGGGGGUAGAAUUCCAGGUGUAGCGGUGAAAUGCGUAGAGAUCUGGAGGAAUACCGGUGGCGAAGGCGGCCCCCUGGACGAAGACUGACGCUCAGGUGCGAAAGCGUGGGGAGCAAACAGG
rnacentral:rRNA from 1 species